rnacentral:lncRNA from 1 species
GACGACCCUACAAAACCACGCUGCUUCCAUUAGAAAUUUAGAAGUUUAAAUGGGUCAACUAGCUAAUGCAUUGAGUGGAAGAAAUCAUGGAGUAUUACCAAGCUAACCCGAUCAAGGUCCUCGACAUCCCUUUCUUCCCAGACCUCAGCCUCGGCAUCAAGAUGUCCCUCAAGAUUUUCCUCGGCAUCUAAGAAAGCCUUCGGCACUCGUUCUACCUCAGUCGCCCUCACCUCCGCCUCAUCUGACUAGCUCAAAACUUCCACCACAGAGGGCCCCGCCUCGACACCAGUGGGCUAUCACCCAACCGAUGCCAGGGCUCGUCUAAAACCCUGAAGUUCACACUACCCUUGCUGGACCCACUAUGCCCUUCCUCUUCCUCCUCCAUUCUCACUAUUUUUU